GCCAUCCGAGAGGAUUCCCCUUCCCUGCUCCCUUGGAGAUUGGCCUGGCCAUGUGACCUGCUUUGGACAACGAAACAUGAGCCUUUAAAGGAUCUAAUUAGGCAUGAAGGAGAGGCAAAGCUUCGACAAUUAGACGUGGACCCUGGAGGUCACAUCCUGGGAUGCAGCCUGCCUGAGUCCAUCUCACCUCUCAGGAAGUAACUAAGACCCAAGAAUUAGAACAAAGGAGUCAAAUCCCCCCUGUUUGAAAGUACCAACGAGCUAUCAAGAGAUGAGACUGGCCCAAGAGGAGUGCAUCCUGUCCUACCAUCGCCAUCCCCCUGCCCAUGAGUCCAUGUAAAAGGGUCAGGGUCAGGGACCUCCGGGGCCGUGCAGGAUCCCUGCCUCCAAGUGACAUCAGGGGCUCUGAGAGAGCAUCUUGUGAGCAGCUGUUCCCGGAAGGGGAGUCUGCCAUGCAUUCUGUGGCUCGAUGCUUUCAGAGUGAAGAUACCUACAAGCCACUCAAAGUGUGGCUACAGCACAAUGUGGUGGAAACGUUCUUGCCAUGUGCUGUGUAAAGUUUGGGGACAUGAAUGAAUAGACUGGAUUUAAAAUGGCUGCAAAGCCCCUGUACUCCAGUGAAGAGAUGGGGUCUGCUUCUCCUCCACUUGAAUUUGGGCCAGCCCUGUGGAGCCUGACCAACGAAAUGUGGUGUAUAAGUCACCGUCCAAGGCUAGGUCUUAAGAGAUCCAAGCUUCCACCUUCUCUACUUGGAAUGCUCUCUCUUGGAUGUUGGCUGCCAUGCAAGAAAUCUGACCUGCUGAAGAGAAAGGCCCUAUAGAGAGGACUCUGAGCCACCAUGGACUUUCCAGCCCCAGACGAGCUCCAAACUGAAUGCAGCCCCAUGAGUGACCCCAAUCAAUGCCCACGGAGCAAACGAGCUGUCUAGU